ensembl:lncRNA
UAUACGUUUUUAAAAUACAAUGUAUUAUGUAACCUUAGAUCUACCUUUGAUGUAGGUAGCUCUUAGCUAUCACUGGGUUCAAAUGAGCAGGCUGCACAGACCUGUGGCAAAGCGACGUAUGAGGCCCGUGCCACACCGCUCACCUCACCUGUGCGUGACGGUCGCUGGGCGUCUUGCUUUUCAUUUCGACGCCCAAGUUAACAGGUUAGGUUCUCAGCAAAGGAAACAGUAACAUAGACAAAUAUAGACAGGCGUGCAAGCCGCAGAAGUUAAGCGAGGUAGCCGUUACGCACAGGUAACGUUAAGCGGUGAGGUAAGCAGUGUGGCCAAAGGCUGAGAGACUUGUCCUAGUAGCCUGGCUUUAUCUCUAGCAGGUGGAGUCGCUAACCUACCCCACCUGUCCACCAGGCGUGAGGCUCUCUUUUCCCACACAUUUUUUUUAUGCCCAGUGGCCUCACACAGCUAAUCCUCUCAGCUGACGUCAGGAGCAAUGGCGGAUCAGGAUGGAAGCGACGCGUCUACCAGCGCGACCCAAGGUAAAAAGUUUCGGCGGACGAAUUUUAAAAUAGACAUUUGCUCCGUGGUGGAUCGUUUGAGAAAGUAGCCGAUAUUAACAGUUUUGCCACGCGUGAGAAUGAGCACGUCAUAGUUUGCGAUUGAACGUGUCAACAGGGAAUAAUGACUGGAAGCAGUGACCGCCGAGUCACGGGAAUGGGAUUAACUAUCAACGACUGGCCACGGCAGCCGGUUUAUGAACAUUUCAAGUUCAAUCAUUCCCAACAUUUGAAUUGGCAGCGGUGGUCUUUACAGCACUGCUACUUUUGAAAGUUACAGACACUGACACCUGUUGGUAGUUUAGGUUAGAUCUAUCUUUUACAAAUGUCUAAUCGGCAGGUGUAUUACAACCUGCUCUGUCAAUGUCUGCCGCGGUUUUACGGAUGCCUGCACAGGUGCAUUUUUGGUCGUUUAUUUUGACUUGCAGGCUAUGCCUGUGUCCGUUUGGAGGCUGGUAGUAGCAUAAUUUGGUUGCUCAAAGAUGAAAUGGUCUUUUGGUGUCGUAAGAUUUACAUAUUGUCAUAACAGAAUGUUGAGUAAUGAAAAAGCGGCGUGGAGGGGGAAGAAACAGGCCAUUGGAACGUUUGUUGUGCUAGUUUCAUUACACAAACGGGCAUACAGUUAAUUAACAACCUUGUUUCGAUGGAGACGUCCGGUGUAAAGGCUGACUGGACUGGCCUGCCUGUCGGUAGGCUAAUCCCUUGCGGGUUGUCCCGGUUUAUCGCCUUGAACGCUUAGCGACCCAUCGGGAACGGAGAAUGAAUCCGUUUCCCUGUCAUACCACGGAAUGUCAAAGGUGUCGACACCUGAAGUGAAAGCAGCAAUUUCGGGUACGGGAGUUUGGAAAAGGUGUAAGUUUUCAAUAGACUCUAUUCCGUUAUCGGAAGUGUUACAGAAGUCCUGUCGCGGCCGGUGGUUUGCUGUUGAAAGUGCUUGCAUGCAGGAUGUUUACCGUUCUGCCGUCAACUGUGCGGAAGUAACUGUUUUACUCUGCUAGAAGGGUGACCAAAGAUCAGAUUGCCAUGGAAUCCCCUAUCGUUAAAUAAACUGUGUGUGUGUGUGUGCGCGCGCGUGCGUGCAUGCAUGCAUGCAUGAGUGUUAGGGGUGGAGGGAAGGAGAUUCCUGUGAGAGUGUGUGUGUGAGAGAGAGAGAGGGACAUGGAGUGGGUGGGGAAGGGGAGAGGCACCGUGAGAGAAAAUGCACCCUCAGAUAAUAGGAAAGUAUGUGUUUUUUUGUUUGUCUUUGUUUGCAGGCUUUCGAGAAACAGAACAGUGUGUUAUAAAGCAGUCCCAUAGGGGAGGAUAUCUCCUUUAAGGGUGUAUGGGGGAAAACAAAUAUUCUUUCAUACAAAAGUUGUGUGUGUGUGUGUGUUUGAAUGUGUGUGCAUGGGUCAAAAUGAAGAUUAGAGGGCCUUGUCCUACUCCUUUGAACAGUGACCCUGUAACAGUAACCAGUGAAAUUGGGUGACGUUUAAAAAAAAAUGGCGAUGAAAAACGGCAUUGUACACAUGGUUUGCUUUGGGGGAUACAUAUGUCACCUACCCCCCAAAGAAACUACUAUAGGGUCAACUAUACAGUGUCCACAAACCCUAAAUGAUUUCAAAUAGUACCAACUAUACAGGGUCAACAAACCCUGAGCUGAAACCUGAACAGCCGUUUGCCAGAAUUCGAGGACUGGACCUUUAAUAUGGAUCCAUUGGGUCAACAACACAAUUCUUCUACAGUCACUGGCUAGGCAAUUCACCUGCUGUGCCCUCUUGACCUGGAUUUGGCCUCUUAUAGACUUAGACGUCAUGGGUUAUAAGCAUCAGUGCCAUCCUCAUGGUUUGGAGAUCUCAGGGAACACCCUGACUACCCUUUUAACAAAUCGUCCUGUGUUUGGGGUUUGUCACUGGCCCCCGUUCUGCAUGUCCCUCCCGGGCUCCUGUUGACCGCCUGUCUUUUGGCCACUGGUCCCCGGGGUGUAUGUGUGGUCUGCUUGGCGUGUCCAGUCUACCCAGAAAUAGAUUGCAAAUGAAGGUUAUUUAAAGGGUUUUAAUGCGAUUCACCCAGAUUCACUGUCAACACUGGAGACUGCUGCCCACCACCCGUGUCUGACUGAAAGGGUGAGAGAAAGAGGGAUGCAGAGGGAGGGAGCUAGAGGAGUGUGUGAAUUGCAAAUGUUCCCUAGCAAGCACCCCCCCCCCCCCAGGGUAUUAUUCACCUAUUCACCAUGGCAACUAAUGGCUGUAGGCAGGCCCCCAAACCUGAUACAUAUCCAGGAGUAUUCUGAUCUGCGUAACGGCAAACUCUUGUAUACAUCCGAUUAUCUGUGGAAUAUCCGGGAGUGUUCCACUCCGGAUACACCUCUUUUUACAUGAGAGUGUGUGUGUGUGUGUGUACACUGCUAUCCCUGGAUUGUUUUGUAGUGUAGAAAUGGCAAAAUCAUUGGUUCUAACAGGAAAACUGACUCCUGACCUAUCCAAAAUGUCAGGCAUGUUCUAACUCUUUUGAGCCCAUGCCCUGCUGUUUUUCAGCUGAAAUGGGGGCAAUGGUUUGUUAUAGCUGUCUAAAGUCAGAGGCAGAUCUGUUGGAGUCACCAGGGGUACGUUCGUCGUAGGAUUGAAGCUAAGUUAAUCAAUUGGCCUUUUAGCCCGUUAAGAUUAGCGAGCUGAUUGAGAACAGCAAAUAUCGGUUUGUUAACGGCUGAUCCGCAUCCUAAUCAUGUGGUUAAUUUCAACCAGGCUAAAGUUAUCAUGGCAUUUGCGCAUGCACGUCCUACUUCAAAAGGCAGGAAAGGUCGAUCACCAAAACCAUGAUUUUCUAACGGUAUAAUGGUUCUAAACUCAAAGAAAAGGGCUCUUUUUUUCUCCGCUGGUGAGUAGGAGAUGAACAUGAACGCUUAUGAAGAAUACAAGACCAUAAUCAUGGCAAAAUUCAACACCACCACCGCUGUGAGAGCAAGGUGUGUUGGGAUCUUUAUAGGGUGAUAUCUAUGUAUGAAUAUCUGACGGCAAGUGUCCACUGGUGCAGAGGUUUCCUCUACCGGUUUGAAUCUGCAUGGUUGCUAGUUCAAAUCCCCUCACCUCCUUCCUCGAUGUAGUUUUACAUUUCCUUGGAAGUCGCUUUGAAUAAAAGCGUCUGUAAAAUGACUAAAUGUAUUAAUAACAAAUGCAAUAAAUUGAAGCAGUGAAAAUAAAUUGUCUGUAUUUCUCUCUAUUCUUAUCAUGAGUCCACCUUAAUAAUUUUCUACAAUAAUGAUAUGCUAUGGUGUACUAAUAACACUCAUAUAAUUAUGAGUGCUUUGUUCUCCGCAUCACCGACACUACAAAAAUGUACCACUCGCAAAAAAGCGCAAGACAGUCAAUGUUCGACUGUGGUGUUUGCAAUAAAUGACUCGAGAAGGUUUUGCAAAUUAAUGAUUCAUUGUCGGCUGAAUCGGUAGCGCUCAUACAAGAAUAAUGGAUCUUGGCGAUCGCAAAGAACUCUCUCCCUCCGCUAAUCUAACUCUAAUAGGCCUAUCAGUCCUUGGUCAAUGGGAUCCCUCCUUUUUCCGGGGGUGUGGCAAGCUUAUACAGCUACACUUAAGUUAGCCUGCCCUGGAGCAGGUUAGUGCUAAUCGAUAUGUAACUAUGGUGAUUUAUCAAAAGUUGCUUCCACGAACCAAAAAGAGGGGCGUUUUUUAUCUUAGCCUGAAAAUUAGCUCGCUAAACCGCUUAGCGAGCUACGACGAAUACCCCCCAGAACUUCACCCUUUCACCUCUAUUUAGAGUGAGUGUUUGUGUGCCCAAAUAUAAACUAAAGCCACUAAAGCCGGGUAUCCCACCAGUACACACACACACACACACACACACACAGACCAUAAUAACCUCAUCACAGACCUGAAUCUCUUCACUCACACACACACACAAAAACACAGCAGCUCUGUGGGUGUGUGUUCUGGCUACUCUCACCAGGGGUCAUCAAUGAAGAUAGGUGUGUGUGUGUGUGUGUGUGUGUGUUCAUGUUCAGAUCAGUGUUCUUUUGUUUUUGUUUUGUGUGUGUGAGGGUGUGGGUGGGUGGGUGUGUUUGAUAUGAAAUGUGAUAUCAGGCCUUUCCUCUUUGCCACACCUGAUCACAGUCGGUCACCUUCACCCAUAUGCUUUUGCCUCUGUCACAUACACACACACACGCACGUAUACACACACACAUAUACACACACAGGCAGUGGUGGGAGAACUGUGUAGGUGUACAGAAUGAAGAGAGGAUGACGUGGAUGAUGUGACGGCACAGCUGUGCGUGUGUGUGUGUGUGUGUGUGUGUGUGUGUGUGUGUGUGUGUUUGGUAAGAAUGUAGAAUUGUACAGAAUGAAGUGUCAAGUGUUCAGCUGAAGUGUGUUGACCCCAACCUGCUUCUCAUGCUGAGGAGACACCUCCCCUCCUAUGUAGCGCCCACCUGGGUGAGGCGACAGCACACCUUAAUGCCAGGUGUGUGUGUGUGUGUGUGUGUGUGUGUGUGUGUGUGUGUGUGUGUGUGUGUGUAUGUGUGUGGGAGAGAGAAAGAAAGAAAGAACAGGGUUCCCAUCCCUCACAGUCCUGUCAUCACUGAUGGACUGUUUUAUUUGUCAACUUCAUGCACCUGCAUAGAGUUGCUUGCACAGCGUUUGUCAUAUUCCAGCAGUCCCGUGUAUCUGUGAGAGAGUGAGUGUGUGUGUGUGUGUGAAAGAGAAAGAGAGAGGGAGGGAGGGAGGGAGGGAGUGUGUGUGUGCUAAGCAGAGAUCAGAUUACAGUUAAACGCUGCAGCGUGGCACCUUGAGAGAGAGUGUGUUCCAUGAGUACAGUGACAUGCCAUUGCAUUCUCUCUCUCUCUCUCUCUCUCUCUCUCU